CUACCCCUAAUAUAGCGUGGUGGGAGAGCCGAAGGAAUACUUAUUGAAGUAGUCACAACGACGACAUCACUAGCUAGGCCGCAUAUUCCAUCGCCAGAUCCGAACCAAGCGAAGUGAAGGAAGACGGGUGUCCUUUUCGUACACUGAGUGUGGUGGGUGAGUCUUCAUGCUGUGAAAACCUAUAAUUUUGACGUGGUGCUGUAUAUUGCUGUGGGCUGCUGUGUAUUGCCGUGUGUCCUGUCAGAUAAACCCCCGCCUUCACGCACUUCGUCGCGGGAGGACAAGGAGACUGCUGGUCCUAGCCUAGUUCAGUACAGUAUAUGUUGUGAGCGUGCUUCAGAUCUCCGGAGAUAGCACGGUACGCUGUGUCCAGCCCAGAGGUGAAAGCCAUCCAAAGCAGAGUAACUGUGCUUUGUGUCCAAGUUGAUACCUGUGGAGAGAAAAGGAAAGAGAGAGUGAGUAACACAAGGAGAACCAGAGGGAACCUGUACUUACAGUACGCUGUGUUCAGCCCAGAGGUGAGAGCCAUUCAAAGCAAACUAACUGUGUUAUUGUGCCCAAGUUGAUACCUGUGGAGAGAAAAGGAGAGAGAGUGGGUAACACGAGGAGAGACCGAGGAAACCUGUACUUACGCCGCUGCCUGUGGAGAAAGAGAAAGCGAGUGAGCACCCAAGGAACGAACUGUGUGAACCAGUACUUACUGUGAGCUGCAAUCAGCGAAGAGCCGUUGCCUGUGGAGGAAGAGAAAGAGAGUGAGCACCUCGAGAACUAACUGUGUGAACCAGUACUUACCGUGAGCUGUAUUCAGCGAAGAGGAGGAAGAAGGAGGGCGCUACGGAUACCUAAGACUCAGGCCGGGGCCCGAGUCCCACGCCCCGGAUCCCCGUGGCCCCCUUGCUCCCUGACCUCUUCCCGGCCAUAGCCCAUCUGGAGGGCCGAGUCAGAGUUUAGUUUUAAUUGCCCUUUCCCUAUUCCC
ensembl:lncRNA